rnacentral:rRNA from 1 species
AUUGAACGCUGGCGGCAUGCCUUACACAUGCAAGUCGAACGGUAACGGGCCUUCGGGUGCCGACGAGUGGCGAACGGGUGAGUAAUACAUCGGAACGUGCCCGAUCGUGGGGGAUAACGAGGCGAAAGCUUUGCUAAUACCGCAUACGAUCUACGGAUGAAAGCCGGGGACCGCAAGGCCUUGCGCGGACGGAGCGGCCGAUGGCAGAUUAGGUAGUUGGUGGGAUAAAAGCUUACCAAGCCGACGAUCUGUAGCUGGUCUGAGAGGAUGAUCAGCCACACUGGGACUGAGACACGGCCCAGACUCCUACGGGAGGCAGCGGUGGGGAAUUUUGGACAAUGGGCGCAAGCCUGAUCCAGCCAUGCCGCGUGCAGGAUGAAGGCCUUCGGGUUGUAAACUGCUUUUGUACGGAACGAAAAGCCUUCUUUUAAUACAGGAGGGUCAUGACGGUACCGUAAGAAUAAGCACCGGCUAACUACGUG